GAUGAACGCUGGCGGCGUGCCUAAUACAUGCAAGUCGAGCGAACGGACGAGAAGCUUGCUUCUCUGAUGUUAGCGGCGGACGGGUGAGUAACACGUGGAUAACCUACCUAUAAGACUGGGAUAACUUCGGGAAACCGGAGCUAAUACCGGAUAAUAUUUUGAACCGCAUGGUUCAAAAGUGAAAGACGGUCUUGCUGUCACUUAUAGAUGGAUCCGCGCUGCAUUAGCUAGUUGGUAAGGUAACGGCUUACCAAGGCAACGAUGCAUAGCCGACCUGAGAGGGUGAUCGGCCACACUGGAACUGAGACACGGUCCAGACUCCUACGGGAGGCAGCAGUAGGGAAUCUUCCGCAAUGGGCGAAAGCCUGACGGAGCAACGCCGCGUGAGUGAUGAAGGUCUUCGGAUCGUAAAACUCUGUUAUUAGGGAAGAACAUAUGUGUAAGUAACUGUGCACAUCUUGACGGUACCUAAUCAGAAAGCCACGGCUAACUACGUGCCAGCAGCCGCGGUAAUACGUAGGUGGCAAGCGUUAUCCGGAAUUAUUGGGCGUAAAGCGCGCGUAGGCGGUUUUUUAAGUCUGAUGUGAAAGCCCACGGCUCAACCGUGGAGGGUCAUUGGAAACUGGAAAACUUGAGUGCAGAAGAGGAAAGUGGAAUUCCAUGUGUAGCGGUGAAAUGCGCAGAGAUAUGGAGGAACACCAGUGGCGAAGGCGACUUUCUGGUCUGUAACUGACGCUGAUGUGCGAAAGCGUGGGGAUCAAACAGGAUUAGAUACCCUGGUAGUCCACGCCGUAAACGAUGAGUGCUAAGUGUUAGGGGGUUUCCGCCCCUUAGUGCUGCAGCUAACGCAUUAAGUACUCCGCCUGGGGAGUACGACCGCAAGGUUGAAACUCAAAGGAAUUGACGGGGACCCGCACAAGCGGUGGAGCAUGUGGUUUAAUUCGAAGCAACGCGAAGAACCUUACCAAAUCUUGACAUCCUUUGACAACUCUAGAGAUAGAGCCUUCCCCUUCGGGGGACAAAGUGACAGGUGGUGCAUGGUUGUCGUCAGCUCGUGUCGUGAGAUGUUGGGUUAAGUCCCGCAACGAGCGCAACCCUUAAGCUUAGUUGCCAUCAUUAAGUUGGGCACUCUAAGUUGACUGCCGGUGACAAACCGGAGGAAGGUGGGGAUGACGUCAAAUCAUCAUGCCCCUUAUGAUUUGGGCUACACACGUGCUACAAUGGACAAUACAAAGGGCAGCGAAACCGCGAGGUCAAGCAAAUCCCAUAAAGUUGUUCUCAGUUCGGAUUGUAGUCUGCAACUCGACUACAUGAAGCUGGAAUCGCUAGUAAUCGUAGAUCAGCAUGCUACGGUGAAUACGUUCCCGGGUCU
rnacentral:rRNA from 1 species